UUUCUAGCUGUGCAUUUCCACUUGCUCCAAAGCCAAAUGAGUGCAAUCAUAACCCAAUUUGCUGCUGAGUGUUGAUGACAAAGAAAAACACAAAACAAGUGCCUUUACUUUCUCAUUUUAUUAGCCAAAUCUGCUUAGCCCUUUUCUGAACCUUUCAGUGUUACAAUGCCCAUAACUUCUUCUAGAAAAAGGAUAUUAACAAUCCGUAAAUUG
rnacentral:lncRNA from 1 species